UUUCACGACAUCUUUGCACUACUUCCAUUUCCCCCUCCAAACUCCGUUAAAUGACAUCGCUGAUCACCAUCUCCAUGAGGUAACAUUAACUAUGCAUAAGUAACUCAUACAACCCCACUUCAAAAUCACUGAACUAUCCCUUUAAACCACUGACUCGUUAGUCACCACUUCUUAAACCAUGGCAGUGUGUACCACAAUGUACACGCAACACAAUCCCAUCAAGCUAGUAGGAACUAGCAUUCAGUUAUUGUCCACAGUUGGCCACAAUGAUUUUUCAAGAAGAACCCCAAGUCAAGUUUUCUUGACCUUCAAAAUCUAGAAGAGGCAAGUGAAUACAUUUUUGCUCUAGAAAAUUACUGGUCAAAACAAGUAAAAUAACCAAUGCACAAGCUAAGUCAAUGAAUUAGAUUCUCUGUGCAGACAAGUUUAAAGCUGCAGUGUGUAAUAUUAGAAGAACUUAUUAACAGAAAGUCAAUAUAUUGUCCAUAACUAUGUGUUCAUAUAUGUAUAAUCACCCGCAACAAAGAACCAAUGUUUUUUCGUCAACUUUGAAUGAGUUAAAUAUAGUUACAGGAGGUGGACCCGGCCUCCGUGUAAGUCGCCAUGUUUGCUACGUCGUGUUGAAUAUGGUUGCCCAAAAGGGACAAACAGUAAACGCAUAUACAGGUUGAAUUUUCAGCGCUGCCGGAAAACCGGAAGAGGAAUCAGGGUUGCGCCACCGUAAAGUGUCCCCGUCGGUCGACAGUGCAAGCUAACAAAUUUGAGAUGCCAGAGUUUGGGAAAUGGAGGAUCAUACCUAUUAUUUAAUGGAAGAGAAUGCAAGAGCUGACCGGCAACCACAGAACACGAGGGUAACCACUGGCGUGGCGCUGCCCAGAUGGAGAUCGCCAAUGAGGUUUUCAAAGUCACGCCGAGGUGGCUUCUUCCCUGGACAGAAUUGGUGGAGCAUUAAAGAGAGCACCAUCCAUUGAUCGACUUUUGGCAACACUCACUGCAGGCAAACAUUUGUGUGUUUUAUACUUGAGGCAUUCCCAUCACUUAGACCUUUUUACAAAAACUGUUUAAUGUGAGUUUCUUUUGGGAUGAACAACUGAUACUAUUUUAAUGGUUGAUAGUUAAUUACAGAUUCAGACAAGAGGACCCUUCGUCUGGAUGACCCCUACAAGAGGGGUCGAUGUCGUCACUAGUCUGUAGAGGUCUAUUGUAUGUGAUUUAUUGUAGCAUAUUUCCUUACCCUGCAACUCAUACUCUAGGUGAAAUAUUACCAUAAACGUUUCACAAAAAAACAUGAAAACUAUAAAAUAGUGUGUAUAAAUGUGCAAUGGCUCAGAAUGUUUUCUAGGGAUAAGCUUUUCCAUGAGCUGCAGAUUUGGAUAGAUCCUGAUGUGAAGAUUAAAGGAUGGGCAAAUGUAUUUCUGUAAUAAUAAAGAAAUCUAUAUCCCAA